UACGAAGGGGGCUAGCGUUGUUCGGAAUCACUGGGCGUAAAGCGCACGUAGGCGGAUCGUUAAGUCGGGGGUGAAAUCCCGAGGCUCAACCUCGGAACUGCCUUCGAUACUGGCGAUCUUUGAGUCCGGGAGAGGUGAGUGGAACUCCGAGUGUAGAGGUGAAAUUCGUAGAUAUUCGCAAGAACACCAGUGGCGAAGGCGGCUCACUGGCCCGAUACUGACGCUGAGGUGCGAAAGCGUGGGGAGCAAACAGG
rnacentral:rRNA from 1 species